rnacentral:lncRNA from 1 species
UGUCAGUUCUAUCCUUAUGCAUAAGUAUUGAUCUUAGUAGCUCUUUGAGCAAUUUAGGCAUAUCAUCUAUCACUUUUAGAUUUGAAUCAAGUUAAAGUGUAAAUUAAUGAAAUAUUGAUGCUAAAGACAAUCAAAAGUCAAAUACUUUUGACUCCCCCUUUCUUUUCCAGAAGGACAAUUGUCUUAAAGCCAAUAUUUUUCGAUUUUAUCUUUUCAUUUUGUUGAUUCUAAUUAAACUUUCAAGUAUGAGUGUAAAUUUUGCAUUUUGCAUUCCAUUUCCAUAUUGGUGGUUCUACUCCCCCUUUUUGUCAUCAACAAUGAAGGGGACAAAUUUUCCUUAGGUACCUAAAAACGCGAUGCCUAUUAGAAUUCAACAUUCAUAUUACCAUGAAACAUUCAAUGAUUUGGGAAGGUGAAAUUUACUCCCCCUUUGUUUCGGAAUUCAUUUCAGACCUUUUAAAUGCAAUUAUUACAAGUUGUGCUCCCCUUGUUUCAUAUGCAUUGUCAAGUUAGCAAUCCAUGGCACAUCACAGUAUUAGAAACAUACUCCAAGAUUCAAAAAGAAGGGUUAUGACAUUCAUAUAGUUUUACAAUCAUUUGAAGCUAUUACAAGGAUUGAUUGCUAAUACAAAAGAAAGAGUUUCAUAUAAGCCUAGGGUUUUACAAAAAGAUGAACCCUAGGUGUCCACAAAAUGUGCCUCACCGGCGACCACGCUCAAUAGCCCCAGCAGCAGCCUCCACAAACCUAUUUAUUGCAUCCAUUAGACUUCUAAAGUUAUCUCCCUGAGAUUGAUUGAGGGCUGUCACUAAGGCUUCAAAUUCAUGGGUUGCCCUGUCAAUCCUCCCUCUAAGCUGGGCAGCCACACUGCUCACAUUGCCUUCAGGGCUCGUCAGCUCUUGAAGACCAUCCGAUAUGAUCUUCAAU